AGUGAACGCUGGCGGCAGGCCUAAUACAUGCAAGUCGAACGGCAGCACAGCAGAGCUUGCUCUGUGGGUGGCGAGUGGCGGACGGGUGAGGAAUACAUGGGAAUCUGCCCAGUCGUGGGGGAUAACGUAGGGAAACUUACGCUAAUACCGCAUGCGCCCUUCGGGGAAAGCCGGGGACCUUCGGGCCUGGCGCGAUUGGAUGAGCCCAUGUCGGAUUAGCUAGUUGGCGGGGUAAUGGCCCACCAAGGCGACGAUCCGUAGCUGGUCUGAGAGGAUGAUCAGCCACACUGGAACUGAGACACGGUCCAGACUCCUACGGGAGGCAGCAGUAGGGAAUAUUGGACAAUGGGCGCAAGCCUGAUCCAGCCAUGCCGCGUGAGUGAAGAAGGCCCUCGGGUUGUAAAGCUCUUUUGUCCGGAAAGAAAGCGCCGGGUUAAUACCCUAGUGUCCUGACGGUACCGGAAGAAUAAGCACCGGCUAACUCGUGCCAGCAG
rnacentral:rRNA from 1 species